UGAGACGUCAGUGUCAGCAGGGAUGGGUCCUGCCGUGUUCCUUGGGGCUCUGUCAUCUUCUCGUCAUUGUUCAGUACCUGACAGCUAGUGCGGCCGUGGACAGAGCUGGAGAGCCCAGGCAGACCCUGGUGUCCAGCCCUAGGCAUCCAAACUGACUCCUCAGCCAAUUCUUUCCCUGUAGGAAUUCAUAAAAGCUCUCUGCUGCAUUCUUUCAAUCUUCUUUCAUGGCCACAGCGCUUUCAUCUACGCUUGUCAGAUGCUGUGCAAGAAGCAAGGGGCGGACGGUAUAAUGCUCACAGAUGGAGGAGGAACCAGGCGGACUGCAUUUAUACUUCAUUUUCACCUCCUUUAUGUAAAAAUGAUGUUCAAGCGAAGGAUAGAGCAGUGACUCAGGGACUCAAACAGAAAACAAAAGGAGACCUGCGAGGAGACGGCUAAGGCUGGAGGUAACUUGUGUGCCACCCUGAAGAGAGAAGGACUGAGAGAUGGAGGGAGGAGGGGGGAGAGCUAACGAGGCGGAGAGAACCCAGAGAGAGAGACCUUGGGCUUUUCUAAUGGGAAAGGGACUCAGUCUCAGGAGCUAGUUGAUGAGCUGCUGAUCCGUGUGCAGUUUUAGUUUAGAAAUAAAAGAUGUUUCAGAAUAUCUGGGAAAGCAAGGUGAGAGCAGUGACUUACACAAGAAAGAAAGAGACCACCUCAGAUUGGACUCUUCUGUUGAAAACGCCUCUAUCUCCUUACACAAGGAUGGGGAGAAGCCUAUGGGAAAAAAUGCCCUCAAGUGAUGGACGAAGUCACAUUCCAGCGCCAGAUGUGCAUGAUGCUAUUUAAAACACUGUCUUCAGCUGCAUGCACGCCACACACGGUAUACGAGGUGUCUCGGUCCAGCUCACCCUCCUGGUAGUGUUCCCAGCAGAUGCCUGAAUUCAUGCAGAAUCUCUUGCAUCUCCUGCGUUUAAUGACGGUCUGAGAAUUGGAAGCAUGUUCUGCUCAGCUGCCCACAUUCUUCUGUGAUGGGAAAUUGUUUAUGCCUUGCCAUGAUGGGAUGAACGCAGAACGUCAUCAAGCACACCUUGCUGUCUCUGGUGCACAGGGCUUUCUUCUGCGAAAUUCCAUCUGGACUACCUGAGCCCUUCAGGUGGGUGCUGUGGGAAGGAUCCUCCACAGAAACUGGACUCUCUCCAGGCACUCACACUCUGCUUGGGAAGACCUGAAGCGGACACAUCGAGUACCCUAGGACAGCAGGGAGUUCACUACAAAACUCAUCUGUGAAGAGCUGGGGGAUGGCAGUCAUUACAGGAGCUGUCUGUGUCAGGAGGACAGCUUUGGGAGGCUCCUGUAGGGGGAUCUCCAGCUUCAUCCCAGCAGUUUGUGGGGGCAAGAGCCCUCCUGAUAAACCCUGAAGGAUGCAGAUGACAGGUAUGAAGGAUUCUGCUGGCACUGGGGACAACCAGUUUGCAGGUCCACACUUGCCAUUCAAGACCUUGCCACACCAAUCCUUCAGCAAAUAUUCCAGGAAGAGGGACCUGGUCCUUCACUGUCACCUCCCCAGAUCCUGUCACAUCUACUCCCACCUGAAGGCAGGCCAUGGGCACUCAGCCACUGCCAGUCCAGGGAGGUGUCUGCGGAUGACGAGAGCAGUCAGCUCUGCCCCUACAGGGUCCACCUCAGCUCUUAAUAACCAUGACUCUGCAGCCAAGUUGAGCUUAACUGCUCUGCAAGACUCCUACUCCCCAGGGCCUGUGCUGGGAGCCAGGAGGGCCAUGGGUCUUUGGCCCCAAGGUUUCCCAGUUCACUGCCUUUCCGCCUGGGCAGUGGCCCUGACAGGGUGUGUCAUCCCUGUCAUGGGCAGUGAGGCUUGCUUUUGUCUCUCAGAGCCCUUCAUGCUAACUGUGCCUCUGGUCUGAGCUGCAACCUCCUUGCUCUGACUUUGCCAUCUGUAUGCAGAACUCAGCACUGGGAAUUGCAAGGGAAGCCUGUGCAGUCUGCAGCCUGAUCGCGCAAUCAGCAACGCAACUCGCAGCUUUCAGGUCAUUGCCCGGCUUUGCAAGACCAAAGUCAGCUGACUGACCUAUACAGCAUCUCAAGAGGCAAGAGAUGUCAUUUUCUCGCCCGAGGCAAAAGUCCGGUGGGAAGAGAUUCUAGGGUACCAGAAAGUGCCGUGGGAUGUUCUGUAUGUUCAAUGUGUUGCUCUGAUUGGUUAAUAAAUAAAACACUGAUUGGCCAGUAGCCAGGCAGGAAGUAUAGGCAGGACAAGGAGAGAGGAGAAUUCUGGGAAGUGAAAGGCUGAGGCAGAGAGAUGCUGCCAGCCACUGCCAUGAGUACCAACAUGUGAGAUACUGGUAAGUCAUGAGCCAUGUAGCAAGGUAUAGAUUUAUAGAAAUGGAUUAAUUUAAGAUGCAAUAACUAGUUAACAAGAAGCCUGCUGCGGCCAUACAGUUUGUAACCAGUAUAAGUCUCUGUGUGUUUACUUGGUCGGGUCUGAGCAGCUGUGGGACUGGCUGGUGAGAGAGAUUUGUCCUGACUAUGGGCCAGGCAGGAAAACUCUAGCUACAAGAAAGCAUCCUUGAAAUAAUUUCCCACAACCCACACAUCUGACGCCAACUCUCUCGGCCCUACAGUCCACCAUGUCAUCCAUCCCCUGAUGUCUGUCCCUUUCCACCUGUCUUAGUUAGGGUUUUCACUGCUGUGAUAAAACAUGACAAAAAAUAUUGAGAGAGGAAAGGUUUUAUUUGUCUUACACACUCUGAUCACAGUCCAUCACGAAGGGGAUGUGGGGCAGGAACUCAAGGCAGGAACCUGGAGGCAAGAACUAAGGCAGAAGCCGUGAAAGAAUGCUGCUUCCUGACUCGCUUUCUACAGAUUACUCAGCCUGAUUUCUUGUACAGCUCAAGCCCACCUGCCCAGGGAAAGCACCAGCCACAAUGGGCUGGACCCUCCCACAUUAAUCAUUAAUCAAGAAAACGCCCUCUGUGUUUCCCACAGGCCAGUCCCCACAGAGGAUCAUGGGCCAUGUCUCGGAGGGUCAGUGAGGUGGUCAGCCUGAGUGACAGCUCGUACUUUGACCAGAUGGUGAAGUUGGUGGGCCAGGGCGUGUUCCGGCCUAAGAGGUGACAACUAAGGAGGCAGGUGCCAGACAGUGGGAUUGAGGCCAGAACGCCCCAGUUCUCACUCCUGCUCUGAGACGAUUCCAGAAGACCUGCGGGAGCGGAGAGCCCAGAAUGAGGAGCUCUCUCUGGCCCGUGUUCACUCCCUGGCUGGGUCUGCAUCUCGCCUGCUGUGUGACCUGUCAGCAAUCCGUGCCUGUUGUUUGUCCACCUCUGUGUGUCUGUCCACCUAGAAACAAGUGUCGUUAGUCAGUCACACGUCAGGCGAUCUAGUGUUUGCGUGUGGAGUGCAAGUGCUCACAAUACAGUGUGUUGGAGGUAGUGAGAGCGUCAUGUCUGCGGCAGGCACUACCCCCUCCCCCUAAACACACUCACCUCAUUUCCCCCGUGGGAAUGGCGGUGGUAUUGAUGACAAUGUGUCAAUGGCAGCUGACAGACUGUCGGCCCUGCUGGUGUAGGCACUUUGCAUGCCAGUUAUUAAGAUUUUAUUUUAUUUUUUUUUUAUCAACAUGGGACUACACUGUGUAGCCCAUGUUGGCCUCAAACUCUCGAUUCUCCUGUCACAGCCUUAGAAUGAUCGGGAUUAGGUUUGUAGGCCUUACAAAUCCUACAGAAGUUCCUGUUUUGAGGGCUUCCCAUCCUCCACACAGCAAGUCAGCAGAAGUGGAGCCUUUGGAAGUUAACUGGAUAUGGAGAGCCUGACCUCAGGAAUGGCUUUAGUUCAUACAUGUACUCAGGACUCAAUGGCAUGAAAGAGAUACUUUGGUAAAAACAGUUCUUUCUUUCCUUGGUCUGGCUACUGUGAAGUGGACAGUUUGUUUACCAGGCAUUUCCUGCUAGGAUGGUCUGCUUCUCCAUAGGCUGAACACAUGGAAAACAGCCACCCAUGGGCUGUGAACUCUGAAACAGUGAGCGGAGAUAAAACUUCUUUUCCUUAUCACUUGGUUAACUCAGGUAUUUUGUCCCAGCAAUGGAAAUCUAAUGUGGAGCAGUGGAGCUAAUGCUGGAGUGUCCUUGAUAGCAUGUGGUUCACAGGCCUUUCAAUGUGUUUGUGGGAAGCAUUUGGAGAAGUGUGGAGAUGCUGGCUGCUGGAGAGUCUCGAGAAUGUUCUAAACGGAGCUUAGUGGACAUUGUGAUAGAGACUUGACCAGAGUGAUGACCAAGUUUGGAUGGGCCUCAGGAUUCUGAUAGGAGGUGGAAUAGAGAGUACCCCUGGUGUAAUACAUCCUGAAAGUGCAUACACACACACACACACAUACACACACACACACACACACCUCUCACACACACACCUCUCUCACACACACCUCUCUCUCACACACACUUUCUGUGUCUCUCUCUGUCUCUCUCACGCACACUCUUUCCCUCUCUCUUUUACAUACACACAUACUCUCUCUCACACACAUGCUGUCACUCACACACUCUCUCACACACACACACUCUCUCACAUACCCACAUUCUCUCUGUGUGUCUCUCUCUCUGUGUCUCUCUCUCUGUUUCUAUCUCUCUAUCUCUCUCUCUCCCCCCCCCCACACACACACACACUCUCACACACACACUCUCACUCCCACACACACAGUCUCUCUGUCUCUCUCUCUCUGUGUAUCUCUCUCUGUUUCUGUUUCUCUCUACCUCUAUCUCUCUCUCUCUGUCUCUCUCUGUCUCUGUCUCUGUCUCUCUCUCUCACACACACAUACUCUGUCUCUGUCUUUGUCUCUCUCUCUCUUACACAUGUACACACACACACUGUCUAUUCCCUGAGAGCCCAUGAGGUUGAAUUUAAAGGAGCCUAAGAGUGCGGUUUAGAGAGGAGUGUUUGCUAAAGAGAUUGGUGACAUCAUAAAGAAGCCAAGAGCUUUACACCAGGACAACUGGAAAGAUGCUAUGAGGGCAUCUCAGGGAUCUACAAGACCCUACCAUCAGAGCAACAGGUGUACACAUGAACCGGAGCUUCGAUGCCUGGGAGCUGGGGUCCCCUAAACACCGGUAAUCUGCCAAAUAUGAUAGGCUUUGGGUUUGGCAUUUGUUAGGUGAGGUCCCUGUGACAGAGCACUUCUUGGUGUUGGUCUGUGUCGGAAGGGGCUGCCUUCUCACAUGGAACAUUUAUACUUCUUUUUCCCAAAACACACCCUCCUUCUGCCCCAGAUCUGACUUGUUCUCUGAAGGACACAUGCCUGGCUAGGACAUAGAGAGGUGACCCUGUCCCAUAGAUCUAAAAAGGGAAAAUGUCACAGCAGGGAGAAUGAACAUCUUGUAUGACACAGUUAAGGAACACAGCAGGACGGACCAGCGACUUCUCAGCGACUCUGGGAUCCAACCCAUGCCACGUCCACAGGAAUUCAUCAAGUUACCAUGCUUGCCUCUGUGGAAAUGAGACAAGCUGAUGACACCUAGUGUUCUCACUGGUCCUUCUGAAAAUGCUGCUGGAUCCAGAAGGACCUGAAGUCCACACUCAGGUUCUGCAUUUUUCCUCCCUUCAAGUACCUUAGAGCUUGUUUCCUUCAAAGACACUUUUAAUGACUUGGUGGUGUGUGGUGGUAUUGUGUUCCCCAAAAUAUUGUGUACCCUAAUAAAUUUAUCUGGGGUCAGAGAACAGACAGCCACCAGAUACAGAGGCUAGAAAAUGGUGGCUCUCACACCUUUAAUCCUAGCAUUCCAGCGGCAGAAAUUCAUCUGGGAUCUCUGUAAGUUCAAGGCCACAUUGGAAACUGUAGCUAGAGUUUUCCUGCCUGGCCCACAGUCAGGACAAAUCUCUCUCACCUGCCAGUCCCACAGCCGCUCAGACCCAACCAAGUAAACAAUGAAAGCAAGCACACUUUAUGCAUUAUGAUUCUCUAGCAAAACAUUCCUUCAGAAAUGAGGAAGACAUUAAGAAACUCCCGGAGAUGAACACUGAGUGAAGGGAUUUCAGAUGAGAUGAAAGGGGAUGACCCAGGAAUUCAGACUCUCGAGAGGAGAUGAAGAACUUCCAUACAGGCGACUCCACCCACAGUUAGAAAGGAUGAACUUUGUUUCCUCCGAAAUGGGAGAGACGUCAUGUCACAAGCCCCCAAACAGCAGCGUCAUGACUCAAGUGCACAGAGAUGUCUCUUUGUGACACCAGUCCCUGGAGCUGUCGGGCAGGGUUGUGAGAGCAGCAUUCUGCCUGUUAGUAAGAGGCAUGAGUUCACAUAGGAGUGCUGAGGUUCUUAGUACUCCCAGCGUAAUCUCCAUGGUGACACAGAAAAAAACUAGAAUCACACAGAGAAGAGAGAAACUCAAGCAUUUCUUCACUAAAAAAUCAACUAAAAUCAAAAGACGAUAAUCAGGGAAUGAGAGACAAAGGCUGUAAGGCUAAUGGAGGACACAGCAAAUGCCUCCUCAGUGAUUGCUGCAUCCUCUCUCUCUCUCUCUCUCUCUCUCUCUCUCUCUCUCUCUCUCCUCUCUCUUUCCACAGACAGAGGUUGGCAGGAUGUAUAGAAAACGUGACCUGAGUCCAUGCCAUGUGCAAGGCUCACUUUGGCGAGCAAAGGUCCAAAGGUGGAACAGACAUGUGAGGACCAGAUGCUCUGUGCACACUGUGACCAGAAGGAACAGGGCCGCUGUGCUGACACAGACGAAAUAGACUGUGAGCCACAGUCAGGUCACAGGACCCAGGGUGCUGUGUCCUUCCUGAACACCAGUGCUUUCCGCAGGCUGGAGCCAGCUGCCAGCGCCAUGCACCAGGCUGAGCUGCACAGUGGCUGACAUGGCAGUUUAAGAUUUGUCUCACUCAGUCGGAGAACACUGCAGGCACUUAGUCAAGCCAGGUCCAGACACAGAAAACUGCUCAAGGUGCAGUAUAUUUUAAAAUAUGCUUAGAUGCAGAAGAAAGAAAAGAAAGUGAGUAUAGGUAGUCAUAGAAAAAAACAGUUUAAAAAUAAUAAAGUCUUUAAAGAGAGAAUAAAGUAAUAUAAAAACAAUAAGCCACAUUAAGAUGGGAAAUACAGAGUGUCUGAAUCCUGUGUGGUACUUUGUUGAAUUUGAAUUUUUUUAAAUGCUAAUGUGCAAAAAACACUAGCUGCUGAGAGACAGUGGAUUAUGGAAACUGCUAAAUUACACCAACCUGUAUAUUUUAAGAAUGUCUUGACUUCAAAAUGGAAUUCAGAAAAUAUGUUGUGUUUGGCGAGAGAUUAUGACUUUGUUUCCACAGGAAACAAAAAGUUAUGGUUCUCUUCAAAAUUAAUAAAGAUCAGCUUUGAUCAGGGGAGACCUCCUGAAAAUCUUGGCUACAGACAUGAAAAAAGAAACCAAGGAAGACUACAGGACAGGUGAUGUAUAUGCUGAUCCCUCUACUAUGGGAAUAGCUCUGAGACUGGAUGAGACAUGAUAAAUCUUGUUGACUACAGAGUCCUCAUGACUUAUUAUUACAUGUCAUCCUUUCAUGUGGCAUGGAUAGAGGUUUGGUUAUUCAGUCCAAAUGGACUUAUAACAUUGAUAAAUGUGCUUACCUGCUCAAACAUAGAACAAAAAAUCAUGUUAACUGAGUUGUGCAUACUGCUCAUUCCAUACUUGUGUUAAUGCAGAUAUAUAUGUUACCUUUAAAAGUGUGUGUGUUUUCAGAAAGAAAAAAAGGACCAAUCACCAAUAAAGACAAGUAGCCCAGGUGAUCCAGCUUCUCAGAAUGCCUCUGUUGCAGUUUCCUCAAAAUUCUGCAUCUAGAACAACUUCAAAGUUGCUAGCUGAGACGGUUCAGUCUCAGACUAUACAGCCAAGACUUGAGAUAAGCUCUACACUUUCCCACCACACAGAGACUAAACAAAUAAUGUAACUAGCUCUCCUAGGACUUGACCAUUAUCUCAAAUCUCUCAGGGUCUCCUAAAGUUCCCAUUGCCCCCAGACAACAGGAAGCAGUCUAGAGAAAAUGAUGCCCACAUUCCCAUGAGGUGAGAUGGGUGGUUUUUGGUCAUUCAGUGAGUUAUGGAUGUUUAUCAUCAUUGGGGGGCUUAGUUACAAGUUGUUAUUGGCCAUGGUCAGGGAAAAAAGGUGAACAUAGGAGAUUUGGUUCAGAGAUCGCUUUCUGAAGAGAAAAAAGGGAGAUAUGGUGUAGAAAUGAUGGGAUAAAAGGGUGGAUUGUUGAGUCUACUUUUGAACAACCACUAGUCUCAAAUAUUUUACAUUGGUACAGAUUUUUGUAUAUUGAUACAAACUUAAGGUUAUUUUUGUUAUUCUAUAUAUAUUUUUUGCUCUUGUUUAAGGUAUUGUACCUAUGCACCUCAUUUAACAAUGCAAUGUAAAUUUCUAGUCCUUAAAAGCUAUUUAGGAUAAUAAAGAAAUACAAGUAAGUAGUUCAUCAUCUAUAACAAUCAAAUGCUGUGGAUAUCACUCUGUAUAAAUAAAACACUGAUUGGCCAGUAGCCAGGCAGGAAGUAUAGGCGGGACAAGCAGAGAAGAGAAUUCUGGGAAGUGGAAGGCUGAGGCAGGGAGAUACUGCCAGCCGCCGCCAUGACAAGAAAGAUGUAAGGUACCGGUAAGCCACGAGCCAUGUGGCAAAGUAUAGAUUAAUAGAAGUGGGUUAAUUUAAGAUAGAAGAACUAGAGAGCAAGAAGCCUGAGCCAUUAGGCCAAACAGUUUAAAUAAUAUAAGCAUCUGUGUGUUUAUUUUAUAAGUGGGUUGUCAGACUGCCGGGGCUUGGCGGGAGCUGGAGAGAAAACUCCAGCUACAAUCAAACUUAUAGUCAUGUUAGGUAUAUUUUCAAGGUCAAAGAGAGAUAUAUUUUAAAUAGAUAAAUGGUCUUCAAACACUUCAAAGAUCUACAUACUAUGGCAUUAACAUGUUUUAAUAGUAUAUGGCUUUUCAUGACAGUGAAACACAUGUGCUCCUGGCAGCACCAAUUUACUUCAAAAAAAGAUGAUGGGCAUUGAAGAACCACCAUAUGGAGUUUGCUUUUAUUGUGGCAAAGUUAGCCACUGGGCAAGAAACUGCUCUUGCCUCGACUGCUUACAGUAUGCUGUCCAAACAAGCAGGACACAAAAGAAGGUAACUGCCAAACUUUGCCAAGACAAGGUAGGGUAGUCCUUAAAAAUUCCUGCUUCACAGAAAAGUCUGUCAGAUAUUUUAGGCCUGUAGGCUGGAGAUGGAUGCCCAACAUUGCUGAGGAACCUUGAGUGACUGUCCAGGCAGCCAGCUGUUUCUGUCAUUUCUAUAGUUUUAGAAGUUGUUUGCUCCUCACUUCCUGUUUACUCAGGUAAUAUUAUAUCCUUCUUGGGUCUCUGAUGGAGUUGACGACCAGAUAGUUAUAGUUACUGCUUUCCUUGUUACCAAAUUCAAAAAAGAAACUUACACAAGAGGUAUAAAGUAUACAAGGUUGAGAGACAUAAAAGCUUAAAUUGUUCACCUAAGAAAAUAUCUUUAGGUCUUAAAAGAUAGUUUUAGGAUGGUAAUACAAGUUAUAAUAGAAAAUGGUUCAGAUAUAAAACUUUAAAUUCUUUAAGAUAAGAUAGAUAAUAGAGUAUUUUCUCUGAAUAUGCCAAAUACAAAUGGACUGAACAUUGUGAAUGUAAUUCUUACCUGAUAAUUGUUCUUAUUGUAUAUAGUUUUACUAUAUUACAGUUUAAGCCUUUCCUUUUUAUUUAGACAAAAAGGGGGAAAUAUUGUGGAGUAUUUGUACACUGUGUGAAGAUACAUUGCUGUGACUAAUUUAAUAAAGAGCUGGACAGCUAAUAGCUAGGCAGGAGGUAUAGUCGGGAUUUCCAGGCAGACAGAGGAAGUAGGAGGAGAUAAUCAAGGUGCAGAGGAGACACCAAAUAUGUUGUUAUUUGUGAGAUGGCAGCCCAAAGAAAAAUCUGUCUACAUAGCAGAACAGGAAGGAGAUGAGGACAAAAAUCAGGGCAGGCAGGAGAAGCUAGGAGGCUUACUUGGGAGUCUUCAAAUCAGCUGGACUCGUCCUUCUUCUUCCUGCUCUUCUGGGAGUCUAGACAGACUUCUCCAGAUCACCAGACUGACUCCCCCUGUGGGAGCAAAGCCUCACCCCCACUCCGUACACACCUGCAAACACAGCUCUCUUCCUCAGGCCUAGAGAGGAGUGCUGGAGACAGUCAUGCCCAGUAAGCUGUGCUGGUGAGGGUGCACUUCUCUGCUACCAUUCAGGUUCACGGAGAAUACACUGUGGACCUGCAGAUGGAAGAGGAAGGCCUUUCAGUCAGCAUUUCAGCUGGGUGGGGCUGUCAAGGAACCAAGACACUCCACAGUGUCACCCAAUGGGCCAAGAAACAGCAUGUGUUCUCUUGACUCUUUUUGGUAUGAGUAUAUAUGCAUGUGUGUAUAGCAUAUAUGUGUGUAGAGUGAGGUAUAUGUACAUAUGUGUACAAAUGGUAUGUCUGUGUGUGAUGUGUAGUUAUGUAUGUGAUAUAUGUGUGUGGUGUGCAUGUGUGUACAUGUAUGCCUGACUUGAUGUGUGGAUUUAUGAGUGCUGUAUGAAUGUGGUGUAUGUAUGGUAUACGUAUAUGUUUGUGUAUUUUGUGUGUUUUUAUUUGCUCAGAAACAUGUGGUGGGCCCUGUCAGUUCUCACACUAGCUACAGACAGGAAAUGGACAGCCCUGGGAGUCUAAGCAUCCAGACAUAAAGGGAUGGGCCUGCAAAAUGAAGAGUCUGGCCAGAAACACCCUUAAAGCUCCUAAUGAAGAACAUUCCCAUUCCAAAGGCAGCAAGGGCAAAACAAAAGAAAACCAGAAAACACACUGCCUUUCACCACAUGAGAAUUCUCCCACGGCAAGGACCCUGAACCCCCAGAUCUGUAAGUCCCCACUGCCUGCACUGGAGGCAGCUUCACUCCCCUGCUGAAAGCUGGGGUAUUCCAGCUUCUCACUACCUGUAAUCGGUUUGUUCUCUGCCUCUGCUGGAACUGCCCACAACUGCAUCUCAAUUGCCAAACCUGUGGACCGACCCACAAGAGCCAAGGAACUGUGAAGCUUCUUGCCUUCCACUUCACCCAGCUGUAAUCUCCGCCUUUGCAUGAGAACAAGGGUGGAAAGAGAGCAGGGUGGAAGACUUUGGUGAGGAGGGAUGGGUGCUGGCAGACUGCUCUGCGCGUGGUGAACUGUCCCCAUGAGCACGUCCUCACCCUGAUGCGCAGUGAUGUGGAAAGGGCUCCACAGCUGUGUGAA